rnacentral:rRNA from 1 species
GACGAACGCUGGCGGCGUGCUUAACACAUGCAAGUCGAACGAAGUGGCGAACGGGUGAGUAACGCGUAAUCAACCUGCCCUUCAGUGGGGGACAACAGUUGGAAACGACUGCUAAUACCGCAUACUGAAGGAGGGGAUUGCGUCUGAUUAGCUGGUUGGAGGGGUAACGGCCCACCAAGGCGAGGAUCAGUAGACGGUCUUGAAGGAUGAAAGGCCACAUUGGGACUGAGGAACGGCCCAGAAUCCUACGGGAGGCAGCAGUGGGGAAUCUUCCGCAAUGGACGAAAGUCUGACGGAGCAACGCCGCGUGAGUGAUGACGGCCUUCGGGUUGUAAAGCUCUGUUAAUCGGGACGCGGUACCGGAAUAGAAAGCCACGGCUAACUACGUGCCAGCCGCCGCGGUAAUAC